rnacentral:rRNA from 1 species
UUGUGUGAAUACAUAGCACAUUCGAGGUAGACGCAGAGAACUGAAACAUCUAAGUACCUGCAGGAAGAGAAAGAAAAUUCGAUUCCCUGAGUAGCGGCGAGCGAAACGGGAAAAGCCCAAACCAGCAAGCUUGCUUGUUGGGGUUGUAGGACUCCAAUAUGGUAGUUCUUUCAGAUAGUCGAAUGACUUGGAAAAGUCAGUCAAAGAGGGUAAAAACCCCGUAGACGAAAUGUGGAAGACACCUAGGAGGAUCCUGAGUACGGCGGAACACGAGAAAUUCCGUCGGAAUCCGGGAGGACCAUCUCCCAAGGCUAAAUACUCCCUAGUGACCGAUAGUGAACCAGUACCGUGAGGGAAAGGUGAAAAGCACCCCGGAAGGGGAGUGAAAUAGAACCUGAAACCGUGUGCCUACAACAAGUCAAAGCCCGUUAAUGGGUGAUGGCGUGCCUUUUGUAGAAUGAACCGGCGAGUUACGAUUGCAUGCGAGGUUAAGUUGAAGAGACGGAGCCGCAGCGAAAGCGAGUCUGAAUAGGGCGUUUGAGUAUGUAGUCGUAGACCCGAAACCAUGUGAUCUACCCAUGUCCAGGUUGAAGGUGCGGUAAAACGCACUGGAGGACCGAACCCACGUACGUUGAAAAGUGCGGGGAUGAGGUGUGGGUAGCGGAGAAAUUCCAAACGAACUUGGAGAUAGCUGGUUCUCUCCGAAAUAGCUUUAGGGCUAGCCUCGGAAUUGAGAAUGAUGGAGGUAGAGCACUGUUUGGACUAGGGGCCCAUCUCGGGUUACCGAAUUCAGAUAAACUCCGAAUGCCAUUCAUUCAUAUCCGGGAGUCAGACUGUGAGUGAUAAGAUCCAUAGUCGAAAGGGAAACAGCCCAGACCACCAGCUAAGGUCCCAAAAUAUAUGUUAAGUGGAAAAGGAUGUGGGGUUGCACAGACAACUAGGAUGUUGGCUUAGAAGCAGC